rnacentral:rRNA from 1 species
GCAAGUCGAACGCGAAAAUCCCCUUCGGGGGGGCGAGUAGAGUGGCGCACGGGUGAGUAACACGUAGGUAAUCUACCUUUGGAUUGGGAAUAACAACCGGAAACGGUUGCUAAUACCGAAUAAUGCAGCGGCACCUAGUGGUGACAGUUGUUAAAGCGGGGGAUCGCAAGACCUCGCGUCUGAAGAGGAGCCUGCGGCAGAUUAGCUAGUUGGUAAGGUAACGGCUUACCAAGGCGAUGAUCUGUAGCCGGCCUGAGAGGGCGGUCGGCCACACUGACACUGACAUACGGGUCAGACUCCUACGGGAGGCAGCAGUCGGGAAUUUUGGGCAAUGGGCGAAAGCCUGACCCAGCAACGCCGCGUGAAGGAUGAAAUCCUUCGGGAUGUAAACUUCGCAAGAACGGGAAGAAUAAGUAAGAGUUAAUAUCUCUUACGAUGACGGUACUGUUUGUAAGCUCCGGCUAACUCCGUGCCAGCAGCCGCGGUAAUACGGGGGGAGCAAGCGUUGUUCGGAUUUACUGGGCGUAAAGGGCGCGUAGGCGGCCACCGCAAGUCAACUGUGAAAUCUCCGGGCUUAACCCGGAAAGGUCAGCCGAUACUGCGGGGCUAGAGUGCAGAAGGGGCAACUGGAAUUCUCGGUGUAGCGGUGAAAUGCGUAGAUAUCGAGAGGAACACCUGCGGCGAAGGCGGGUUGCUGGGCUGACACUGACGCUGAUGCGCGAAAGCUAGGGGAGCGAACGGGAUUAGAUACCCCGGUAGUCCUAGCCUUAAACGAUGAAUGCUUGGUGUCU